GGAGAGGUGGCCGAGUGGUUGAAGGCGCAGACCUGGAAAGUCUGUUAUGCGGAAACGUAUACGAGGGUUCGAAUCCCUCCCUCUCCG
rnacentral:tRNA from 4 species